GAUGAAGAACGCAGCGAAAUGCGAUAAGUAAUGUGAAUUGCAGAAUUCAGUGAAUCAUCGAGUCUUUGAACGCACAUUGCGCCCGUCAGUAUUCUGGCGGGCAUGCCUGUUCGAGCGUCAUUACGCCCCUCAAGUCCCCUGUGGACUUGGUGUUGGGGAUCGGCGAGGCUGGUUUUCCAGCACAGCCGUCCCUUAAAUUAAUUGGCGGUCUCGCCGUGGCCCUCCUCUGCGCAGUAGUAAAACACUCGCAACAGGAGCCCGGCGCGGUCCACUGCCGUAAAACCCCCCAACUUUUUAUAGUUGACCUCGAAUCAGGUAGGACUACCCGCUGAACUUAAGCAUAUCAAUAAGCGGAGGA
rnacentral:misc_RNA from 1 species